rnacentral:rRNA from 1 species
UACGAAGGGGGCUAGCGUUGCUCGGAAUCACUGGGCGUAAAGCGCACGUAGGCGGCUUUCUAAGUCAGGGGUGAAAUCCUGGAGCUCAACUCCAGAACUGCCUUUGAUACUGGAGAGCUUGAGUCCGGGAGAGGUGAGUGGAACUCCGAGUGUAGCGGUGAAAUGCGCAGAUAUCAGGAGGAACACCGGUGGCGAAGGCGGGUCUCUGGGCUAUAACUGACGCUCAUGCACGAAAGCGUGGGGAGCAAACAGG